AGUUUGAUCCUGGCUCAGGACGAACGCUGGCGGCGUGCCUAACACAUGCAAGUCGAGCGAGAGACUUCGGUCUCUAGCGGCGGACGGGUGAGUAACACGUGGGUAACCUGCCUCAUAGAGGGGGAUAGCCUUCCGAAAGGAAGAUUAAUACCGCAUAAUAUAGUUUAGUCGCAUGGCUAGAUUAUCAAAGGAGUAAUCCGCUAUGAGAUGGACCCGCGGCGCAUUAGCUAGUUGGUGAGGUAACGGCUCACCAAGGCGACGAUGCGUAGCCGACCUGAGAGGGUGAUCGGCCACAUUGGAACUGAGAUACGGUCCAAACUCCUACGGGAGGCAGCAGUGGGGAAUAUUGCACAAUGGGCGAAAGCCUGAUGCAGCAACGCCGCGUGAGUGAUGAAGGCCUUCGGGUUGUAAAGCUCUGUCUUUGGGGACGAUAAUGACGGUACCCAAGGAGGAAGCCACGGCUAACUACGUGCCAGCAGCCGCGGUAAUACG
rnacentral:rRNA from 1 species